CCCUUAGUACCUCUUAAUAUUGAGAUAGAGUUAUAGGUUGUUAGCUAGAAUUUGUAGACCGUUAGGCCUUAUUCUUUUGGUCAUUAAGUCAUAUUCUAACAGAUUGUUAGGAUAGAAAAUCUUCCCACUAGCCUACAAAUUAAAAUUGUUAAAUAGUUAUGGACUUUUCAUGUGGGUGAAUGAGCUAGCAAUCCGCAGUUGGAAUAGAACCGAGGCCUCAUACUAAUGACCGCUUCGAGGUUCAAGGGUGCCAUCUCUUCUUAUCAACUUCAUGGCUUUAUUUUUCAUUUUCGGUGAGAUCUGACCAUAGGGUCAGUAAGGCUCC
rnacentral:lncRNA from 1 species